GGGCGCAUUUGGAGGGCCAUUUUCGCUCCCUGAACUAAUUCAACGCUUUUUUUUCCCAAGGGGAGGAUAACAGCCCAGGAAGAGGCAAACAUUAUUAUAAGUCAGUGCAUGUAGAGAGCUGCAGCGUUCCAACGUUUCAGACAGUGAAGACAUGACCCUCACCGUGAGAUUCAACAUGGGCCCCUCAAGCGGUGUGCCUGAAGAUGGCUCUGAGGAGUUAUUGUUUUCUCACUCUCCUGGAGACGUCAGCAAUGUCAGCAAACAUCUCAUAAGAUGGACAUAUCAUGUGCGACAUGUACCACACACUUUGUUUUGCCAGUCUUAAUAUCAUAGUUUAGCCACUGAAAUAUCAGGUACGAUUUGUACAAUUCAGUGUGUGUGGUGAUAAAAUAUAAAAUCACACUCAUAGCCCAUACAAUUAAUCUGACAUGAAUAUUGAACUUGAAGCUUUGAAUAAAAUCUAAGUUAUGAACACUAAUGCAGGUAAAUGACAUCAUCUUUCACACUGGGAAUAAAGUAAGCUUGUAUUCUGUUAAA